rfam:Octopus bimaculoides Scaffold67642_contig_23, whole genome shotgun sequence.
UAUUGCUUCGACAAUGCAUAUACUAAAAUUGGAAUGAUACAGAGAAGAUUAUCAUGGUCAAUGCACAAAGAUGACGCGCAAAUUCGUGAAUAGUUGUGCAUUUUU